UACAGAGGGUGCGAGCGUUGUUCGGAAUUAUUGGGCGUAAAGAGCGCGCAGGCGGUCUGCCAAGUCAGAUGUGAAAGAGGCCGGCUUAACCGGCAAGGGUCAUUUGAAACUGACAGACUAGAGUGCAGCAGAGGAUAGCGGAAUUCCCGGUGUAGUGGUGAAAUGCGUAGAUAUCGGGAGGAACACCAGUGGCGAAGGCGGCUAUCUGGGCUGCAACUGACGCUGAGGCACGAAAGCCAGGGGAGCAAACGGG
rnacentral:rRNA from 1 species